GGGCAGUCAAAAGGGAAAGAGCCCAGACCGCCAGCUAAGGUCCCAAAGUGUGUGUUAAGUGGAAAAGGAUGUGGGAUCUCCAAGACAACUAGGAUGUUGGCUCAGAAGCAGCCACACAUUCAAAGAGUGCGUAACAGCUCACUAGUCGAGAGGUCCUGCGCCGAAAAUGUCCGGGGCUGAAACACAACACCGAAGCUGCGGAAUUGCGAAUGCAAUUGGUAGAGGAGCAUUCUUAAUACCGACGAAGCUGUACCGGAAGGAGCAGUGGAGGGAUAAGAAGAGAGAAUGCCGGAAUGAGUAGCGAGAGAGAGGUGGGAAUCCUCUCGGCCGAAUAUCCAAGGUUUCCAGAGUAAAGCUGAUCUGCUCUGGGUAAGUCGGGGCCUAAGGCGAGGUCAAGAGACGUAGCCGAUGGACAACAGGUUUAGAUUCCUGUACCGCAUAUAAACAGAACUGUGGGGACGCAUGGGGAGAGCAUGGGCCGGGAAUGGAAAUACCGGUGCAAGCGAAGGAGGUGUGCAGCCGGCAAAUCCGCUGCAUGAGCCGAAAGCGUGACGCGGAGCGAAAUGAAAGUAGCGAAGCAUGUGAGCCCUGUGCCGAGAAAAGCCGCUAUAGCUUUAUAUGUGCCCGUACCGUAAACCGACACAGGUGGAUGAGGAGAGAAUCCUAAGGCCGGCGGAAGAAGUAUUGUUAAGGAACUCGGCAAAAUGACCCCGUAACUUCGGGAGAAGGGGUGCCCACGGGAGUGGGCCGCAGAGAAUAGGCUCAAGCAACUGUUUAGCAAAAACACAGGUCUAUGCGAAACCGAAAGGUGAAGUAUAUGGGCUGACGCCUGCCCGGUGCUGGAAGGUUAAGAGGAGAGGUUAGCGCAAGCGAAGCUUUGAAUUUAAGCCCCAGUAAACGGCGGCCGUAACUAUAACGGUCCUAAGGUAGCGAAAUUCCUUGUCGGGUAAGUUCCGACCCGCACGAAAGGCGUAAUGAUUUGAGCACUGUCUCGACAAUACAUCCGGUGAAAUUGAAGUACCAGUGAAGAUGCUGGUUACCCGCGCCAGGACGGAAAGACCCCAUGGAGCUUUACUCCAGUUUGGUACUGGGAUUCGGUACUGCACGUACAGGAUAGGUGGGAGACUUUGAAACUUGAACGCCAGUUUGAGUGGAGUCGCUGUUGGGAUACCACCCCUGCAGUAUUGGGUUUCUAACCAGUCACCGUGAUCCGGUGAUGGGACAAUGCCAGGCGGGGAGUUUGACUGGGGCGGUCGCCUCCGAAAGGGUAUCGGAGGCGCUCAAAGGUUCCCUCAGAAUGGUCGGAAACCAUUUGAAGAGUGCAAAGGCAGAAGGGAGCUUGACUGCGACACCGACGGGUGGAGCAGGUAGGAAACUAGGACUUAGUGAUCCGGUGGCAUAAAGUGGGAUUGCCAUCGCUCAACGGAUAAAAGCUACCCUGGGGAUAACAGGCUUAUCACUCCCAAGAGUUCACAUCGACGGAGUGGUUUGGCACCUCGAUGUCGGCUCAUCGCAUCCUGGGGCUGUAGUAGGUCCCAAGGGUUGGGCUGUUCGCCCAUUAAAGCGGUACGCGAGCUGGGUUCAGAACGUCGUGAGACAGUUCGGUCCCUAUCCGGCGCGGGCGGAGGAUAUUUGAGAGGAGCUGUCCUUAGUACGAGAGGACCGGGAUGGACGGACCACUGGUGUAUCUGCUGUCGGCCAACGGCAUGGCAGAGUAGCCAAGUCCGGAAGGGAUAAACGCUGAAGGCAUCUAAGCGUGAAGCCCCCCUCAAGAUGAGAUAUCCCUCACAAAAGUGAGUAAGAUCCCUUGAAGACUACAAGGUAGAUAGGGCAGAGGUGGAAGUGUGGCAACACAUGGAGCUGACUGUUACUAAUCGAUCGAGGGCUUGACCAA
rnacentral:rRNA from 1 species